rnacentral:rRNA from 1 species
CCUACGGGAGGCAGCAGUGGGGAAUAUUGGACAAUGGGCGCAAGCCUGAUCCAGCCAUGCCGCGUGAGUGAAGAAGGCCUUCGGGUUGUAAAGCUCUUUUGUUGGGAAAGAAAAGCUUUCGGUUAAUAACCGGGAGUUCUGACGGUACCCAAAGAAUAAGCACCGGCCAACUUCGUGCCAGCAGCCGCGGUAAU